UGAAAAUAGAAGAAGAGACGAUGGAGAACAUGAGAGAAGCUAGUUGAUUAUUGUGGAGAUCUAAAAAUAUUUGAAAAGAUAUAUGCUAGAUAAAAAAAUGAUUUAGCAAAUAUUGUCUUUUUUAACUUUUGAUAUUUAUUGAUAUACUUAAAUAAGGUAACUAUUUAACAAUAUAAAAUAAUAUUAGAAAAUAAAUCAUAUCCCGAGAUUAUUGAGAGAAUAUAUUGUUAUUAUUACAGGUGAUUUGCAGUAAUAAUGUUACAUUAUUAUAGAAUAUUUAUAGGGAUAAAAUAGCAUAAUUAUAGAUUCUCUCUUGUAUAUAUUUCUUAUAUUUUAUUCAAAAUUAAUAAGACAGUUUUUUCCCUACUUUUCUUUCUUUACAUGGUAUCAUAGUAGCUUUUCUGAUCCUUUUCUACUUUGUCUUUGUUGCUGCUGGUGACGGCUGCCACCGACGGCCCGCUAAAAGUCUCUUUUUCAACUUGUGCUUUUAUACUUCAAUGGACAAUCUCUGGUUUUUGUCUCGCAUCUGUCUGGUGUUGCCAUCCGACCACCAUCUCCGGCCAUUGUCGCCGACCACUUUCGCAGCCAUCGUCUCCGCCACUUGUGCCACCGAUGCACCAACACCUAGUCCUACCUCUAUUGCUUCUUCUUCUCUAUUAUCUUAAAGUAUAUUUUUCCAAAAUUAUCUUUUAUCAUAAAAAUUUAUCAAUUAUCAAAGUCCUUUUUGUAGAUAAAAUAGAGAAAACUGCAAGGUCCAUAUUUUGUUAUCUGUUCCCCGAC
rnacentral:lncRNA from 1 species